UUUCAUUGUCAUAAUCCANUCCCCACACGGGUUGGUNUCAACAAUAAAUAACAAUACAGGGCUCUUUAGGGUCUUGUAAUUGGAAUGAGUACAAUUUAAAUCCCUUAACGAGGAACAAUUGGAGGGCAAGUCUGGUGCCAGCAGCCGCGGUAAUUCCAGCUCCAAUAGCGUAUAUUAAAGUUGUUGCAGUUAAAAAGCUCGUAGUUGAAUUUCGGGGUUCUACCGUUGGUCGGGCUUUGUCUGUACUGGCGUGUAGAAUUUCUACCUUCUGGGGAACCAUUAUGUUAUUAAUUUAGCGUGGUGGGAAACCAGGACCUUUACCUUGAAAAAAUUAGAGUGUUCAAAGCAGGCUUAUGUCUGAAUACAUUAGCAUGGAAUAAUAGAAUAGGACGGUGGUCCUGUUUUGUUGGUUUCUGAAUCACCGUAAUGAUUAAUAGGGAUAGUUGGGGGCAUUAGUAUUCAAUUGUCAGAGGUGAAAUUCUUGGAUUUAUUGAAGACUAACUUCUGCGAAAGCAUUUGCCAAGGAUGUUUUCAUUAAUCAAGAACGAAAGUUAGGGGAUCGAAGACGAUCANAUACCGUCGUANUCUUAACCAUAAACUAUGCCGACUAGGGAUCGGACGAUGUUAACUUUUCUUGACUCGUUCGGCGCCUUACGGGAAACCNAAGUGNUUGGNUUC
rnacentral:rRNA from 1 species